GACGAACGCUGGCGGCGUGCUUAACACAUGCAAGUCGAACGGAAAGGCCCUGCUUUUGUGGGGUGCUCGAGGGGCGAGCGGGUGUGUAACGCGUGAGUAACCUGCCCUUGACUUUGGGAUAACUUCAGGAAACGGGGGCUAAUACGGGAUAGGAGCCCCUGCUGCAUGGGGGGGUGGGAAAAUUUUGGGCGGGUGGGGGUGGCCGCGCGGCUUACCAGCUUGUUGGGGGGGUAGUGGCUUACCAGGGCUUUGCCGGGUAGCCGGCGUGGGAGGGUGACCGGCCACUUUGGGACUGGGUUCGGGCCCGGCCUCCACCGGGGGCCAGAGGUGGGGAAUUUUGCCAAAUGGGCGGAGCCCUGUUGCGGAACCCCCGCGGGCGGGAUGCCGGCCUUCGGUUUGUAACCGGCUUUCGCCUGUGCCGAGGCGUGAGUGACGGUAAUGGGUAAAGAAGCACCGGCUAACUACGUG
rnacentral:rRNA from 1 species